rnacentral:sRNA from 1 species
CUGCGAGAAGGAUCAUUAUAUGAAUAAACCUGAUGUGGCUGUUAGCUGGCUUUUCGAAGCAUGUGCUCGUCCGUCAUCUUUAUCUCUCCACCUGUGCACAUUUUGUAGUCUUGGAUACCUCUCGAGGCAACUCGGAUUUUAGGAUCGCCAUGGCUUUCCUUUCAUUUCCAAGACUAUGUUUUUAUAUACACCAAAGUAUGUUUAAAGAAUGUUAUCAAUAGGAACUUGUUUCUUAUAAAAUUAUACAACUUUCAGCAACGGAUCUCUUGGCUCUCGCAUCGAUGAAGAACGCAGCGAAAUGCGAUAAGUAAUGUGAAUWGCAGAAUUCAGUGAAUCAUCGAAUCUUUGAACGCACCUUGCGCUCCUUGGUAUUCCGAGGAGCAUGCCUGUUUGAGUGUCAUUAAAUUCUCAACCUUCCAGCUUUUUUUUAUUAGCUUGGUUUGGCUUGGAUGUGGGUGUUGCAGGCUUCAUUAAUGAGGUCAGCUCUCCUUAAAUGCAUUAGCGGAACUUUUGUGGACCGUCUAUUGGUGUGAUAAUUAUCUACGCCGUGGAUGUGAAGCAGCUAUAUAUGAAGUUCAGCUUCUAACCGUCCAUUGACUUGGACAAUUUUUUGACAAUUUGACCUCAAAUCAGGUAGGACUACCCGCUGAACUUAAGCAUAUCAAUAAGCGGAGGAA